UCCCCAUGGCCUCCUCCAAACACCUUCUUUAGCCUCACCACAGGACCUUCCUCGUGGUGUCUGAUAAUGCUUGUUCUCCUUAGUUCUCCAGCAGUACACUGUCUCACUCUCAGCUCCGUAUGCCUCUUGUUCCCAGCUCCUCUCACACACACUUCCUCUCCUCUGGCUCCUUUC